rnacentral:ncRNA from 1 species
UGGAAACGGUUGCUAAUACCCCGUAGGCUGAGGAGCAAAAGGAGAAAUCCGCCCAAGGAGGGGCUCGCGUCUGAUUAGCUAGUUGGUGAGGCAAUAGCUUACCAAGGCGAUGAUCAGUAGCUGGUCCGAGAGGAUGAUCAGCCACAAUGGGAAUGAGACCCGGCCCAGACUCCUGCAGAAAUUAGCAGUGGGGGGACUUGAUAUAGCAACCUACAUGUUGUGUACGCCAUGCAACAUC